UGGGUUUCAUUGGGUUGUGUUGGGUUGCGUUGGCUGGGAUGGGUUUAAUUGGGUUGGAUGGUUUGGGGUCUUUUGGGUUGGCAGGGUUGGGGUGGUUCCGGUUGAGUUGGGUUGGGUUGGAUGGGAUGGGGUGGGUUGGAUGGUUUGAAGUCUUCUGGGUUGGUGGGAUUGGGGUGGUUUGGGUUGAGUUGGGUUGGGUUGGAUGGGAUGGGUUGGUUGGGUUGGCAUUAAUUGGGUUGGAUGCUCUGCGGUCUUUUGGGUUGGUUGAUUGGUGAUGGACAUGUACGCUGGUGGCAGACACCUGGGCUCGGUUGGGGUUCAGAAUGGGGUUGGUAGUGGACAUCGGGGCAGUUUGGGAGGGGGCACAGCCCCCUCCUCUGUCCUUCUGCUCCCUCUGAGCCCCCUGGCGCUGCCCCCCAGGAACACUUCGGCCACCGUUGACGAGAACUGGUACGAGGACGAUGGCAGCAGCUGGACAGCAUCCGAAGGCUUCGUCCUCAAGAACAAAAAUGCCACUGACCCAGGUCAGGAGAUCUCUUGGGGGCAGCACUAGGAGGGACAGUGGGACCACGGCUGCUUCUUCAGCCCCACCACUCACUCUAUCACCCCCCACCCAUGUCCCCAACAGGCGGCAGCCUACGGAGCUUCACGGCCUCACUGGAACGGGUGAACACCGACAUCCCGAUGCAGAUCACCAGACCCUCAGUGCGACCCCAGUUGUGACCCAGGUCUUCGCUGGCCACCAGCACUUCCAGGACCUUCUCAAUGACAUUGAUUCCAAGGACUACUCUGCCUCC
rnacentral:lncRNA from 1 species